rnacentral:rRNA from 1 species
GGAUAACUGUGGUAAUUCUAUAGCUAAUACAUGAACACCGUGGUACAACUGUUUUGGCUUCGGCUGAUUCAGAGACCGCUAUUGUUGCAUGGAAAGCACUUGGGAUUCGCAGGAAUUUCAAUAAAAACGAUGAAUCACAACAAAUUAGCCGAGCGUAUAGUCUUUGAACGGACGCUGUACCUUUCGAGCGACUGCCUUAUCAGCUUUCGAUUGUAGGGUAUUGGCCUACAAUGGCGAUAACGGGUAACGGGGAAUCAGGGUUCGAUUCCGGAGAGGGAGCCUGAGAAACGGCUACCACAUCUAAGGAAGGCAGCAGGCACGCAAAUUACCCACUCUCAGCACGGGGAGGUAGUGACAAAAAAUAACGAUGCGUGUCUCUUUCUGAGGCCUCGCAAUCGGAAUGGAUUUAUACUUAAAUCACUGAAUGAGGAGCAAUUGGAGGGCAAGUCUGGUGCCAGCAGCCGCGGUAACUCCAGCUUCAGUAGCGUACGUUAACGUUGCUGCGGUUAAAAAGCUCGUAGUUGGACCUUGAGUGCGGACGGUCGAUUCACCCAGUGGAAUGGCUAGCGGUCAAAGGAGUAAAAUCCGGCGGCCAAUAGCCUCGUUGGCUGAUAUCUACGGCCGAUUUAUCCGUCACUUGAUGAAGAUUUGUUGGUUCGUAUGUGUGUUGGGCAUUCUUAACUGAGUGUUCUAACUCACGUGGCUGACAAUGUCACUUUGCAAAAAUGAGAACGAUUAAGGUAGGCUGAAUGCCAUGAAUAUUGAUGCAUAGUACGAGAGAAUAGGACUUUGUCUCUGUUUGGUGCACAGAAUGAUGAAGUAAUGAUUAAGAGAGACAGACGGGGACGUUCGUACUGCGGCGUUAGAGGUGAAAUUCUUGGAUCGCUGCAAGACGAACAAUCGCGAAGGCAUUCGUCCAGAACGCUUUUCUUAAUCAAGAACGAAAGUUAGAGGAUCGAAGGCGAUCAGAUACCGCCCUAGUUCUAACCGUAAACGAUGCUGACCGGCUAUUAGUCGGUGUUAUACCCAAACACACGAUUAGCAACCCCCGGGAAACCAGAGUCUUUGUGUUCCGGGGGGAUGUAUGGUUGCAAGGCUGAAACUUAAAGGAAUUGACGGAAGGGCACCACCAGGAGUGGAGCCUGCGGCUUAAUUUGACUCAACACGGGAAAACUUACCAGGACAGGACAUCGGAAGGACUGACAGAUUUUAAGCUCUUUCUCGAUUCGAUGGGUAGUGGUGCAUGGCCGUUCUUAGUUGGUGGAGUGAUUUGUCUGGUUAAUUCCGAUAACGAACGAGAUUUUGCCCUGCUAAUUAGUCUGCUGAUUAUAUCGGGUCGUCUGUUCUAUGGCUCUUUUCCGAAGGGGUGGUAGUUCAGCGGCUUGGAACCUCAUGGCUUGGGUAUGCUUAGACUGUUGGUGUUGGGUGGUACUUUGUGAAAGGGUGGACGGUGGUGUUUCGACGCUCCGUUUUCUCGCGAUCAUUGUCUGUAGCCUGCAUUUUCAGUUGGUAUUCCUUGCCGAUUGUGGUGUCAGUAUUAUGUCUUCUUAGAGGGAACGGCAUCGUAUAGUUGCACGAGGUUGAGCAAUAACAGGUCUGUGAUGCCCUUAGAUGUCUUGGGCUGCACGCGCGCUACAAUGGAGAGAUCAACGCGCUUUCUACCUGCUCCGAGAGGAGUUGGGAACCCGCUGAAAUCUCUCCUCAAUUGGGAUUGCGGUUUGAAAUUGUUCCUCAUGAACGAGGAAUUCCUGGUAAGCGUGAAUCAUCAGUUCACGAUGAUUACGUCCCUGCCCUUUGUACACACCGCCCGUCGCUACUACCGAUUGAAUGAUUCAGUGAGGCUAUUGGACUGGCAUCCCAGAAUUGAGAUUUAUUUUCUUUUCCGGGGUUGACGGGAAGAUGUCCAAACUGGAUCAUUUAGA